ensembl:lncRNA
GUCUGCACUCUUCGCAGCAACAAAUACUGUGUUCUGGUGAGAGACAUGACGCGGCGUAUUUUUUUCGCCCUUCUUUGAUAUGCGAGUUGCAUUAUUAUUGUCUCUAGAAUAUGCGCUAAUCCCCGUAUUUCAAAUUCAUCGGGAUGUCUGUAUGAAGUUGCACGCCAGUAAUUAUGGUUCCAAACUUUAUUUGUAGCCUAGGUCAUAUAGGUUGUGCGCUGACCUAAUAAACGUAAAAGAAGCAGGCAUGACGGUAAUGUGUACAGUUAAUUUGUUUUCCUAGCUGACGUUUCCUUCCCGGCUACUGUUAGACAGGCUUUGAACAGAACCUCUAAGAUUAAACAAUGCAUUUGUAGCUCAUGUAAAAUAGUCUGUGACUUCUGGUUUUCCACCAGCGAUCCGGGAGAGUUUUCGCCAUAGGGAACCUGAGGUUGUCCGCAGAUGAUGGUUUAUAGUAGAGGUGUGAGACCGCUCUCUGUCUGUUGAGUCAAAUAGCAAAAUGGAGUCUGUCUCCCUCCAAAUCCAGGUUUGUUUCCCUUAGUGCCUGUAGGACAGUUUGCCUUCUCUGCUUGUGCCUGGCUCUCUUGCUGUUGAUACAAGGGGCAAAGGCCAUGGCACUUUCCAGGUCAAGAGGGGCACAUUUAUGGAGAGGUAUGACUAGCAGCUCUGUUCUCAAAGCCUUCGAGAUGCUGGCAGAAGACAGCAGCUUGGGGUUAAGGUAAAGAUCUCGUCAUCACUGUUGUAUU